rnacentral:tmRNA from 1 species
GGGGCUGAUUCUGGAUUCGACGGGAUUUGCGAAACCAAAGGUGCAUGCCGAGGGGCGGUUGGCCUCGUAAAAAGCCGCAAAAAAAUAGUCGCAAACGACGAAACCUACGCUUUAGCAGCUUAAUAACCUGCUUAGAGCCCUCUCUCCCUAGCCUCCGCUCUUAGGACGGGGAUCAAGAGAGGUCAAACCCAAAAGAGAUCGCGCGGAUGCCCUGCCUGGGGUUGAAGCGUUAAAACGAAUCAGGCUAGUCUGGUAGUGGCGUGUCCGUCCGCAGGUGCCAGGCGAAUGUAAAGACUGACUAAGCAUGUAGUACCGAGGAUGUAGGAAUUUCGGACGCGGGUUCAACUCCCGCCAGCUCCACCA